GACGAACCGUGCGAACGUUGUUCGGAAUCACUGGGCUUAAAGGGCGCGUAGGCGGGCUGCCAAGUCCGGGGUGAAAUCCUCCAGCUUAACUGGAGAACUGCCCCGGAUACUGGAAGUCUCGAGGGAGGUAGGGGCGUACGGAACUGGUGGUGGAGCGGUGAAAUGCGUUGAUAUCACUAGGAACUCCGGUGGCGAAGGCGGUACGCUGGACCUUUUCUGACGCUGAGGCGCGAAAGCCAGGGGAGCAAACGGG
rnacentral:rRNA from 2 species